CCGUCAAACAAAUGGUGGCCAAAAAGUACGAGGAGGAAUGUGAACGAGUGAAAAUGGAAGUACAGCAAGCUGUGGCAAUAACCUUUGGCACCAUCUUGGUGUUGAAAUAAGCAGACAAACCAAAAGUGCCACUGCUGAUGCAUCCAGGAGGUGCAGAAAUACCUGGCAGAGGGCAAUAUUGCCAGGUCUCAGGAUCCUAUGAUAUACUGGCAGAAGCAAAAGACUAUUUAUCCGAAUCUCUUCCAGCUGUCCUUACAAUAACUUUGCACUCCAGCCUCAUCUGUCCCGUGUGAGCGAGUGUUUUCUACAGCUGGAGAAGUUGUUUCAAAAAAGUGUAACAGACUAAAAUUCAAAACGUUGGAAAAACUUUUUUUUUAUUUUAAUAAAAAUUUGUGAAAAAAAGUC